rnacentral:rRNA from 1 species
UACGAAGGGGGCUAGCGUUGCUCGGAAUCACUGGGCGUAAAGGGUGCGUAGGCGGGUCUUUAAGUCAGAGGUGAAAUCCUGGAGCUCAACUCCAGAACUGCCUUUGAUACUGAGGGUCUUGAGUAUGACAGAGGUGAGUGGAACUGCGAGUGUAAGAGGUGAAAUUCGUAGAUAUUCGCAAGAACACCAGUGGCGAAGGCGGCUCACUGGCCGUAACUGACGCUGAGGCACGAAAGCGUGGGGAGCAAACAGG